UUUGACAUUUCAUAAUAUAGCAAAAUACCUUGAUUUGGAUACCUGUAGGUACUAAUCACUAGAAAUAAUUUGAUACACUGGUGUAACUGCUCAUAUCUGUUGUUUAUCUGUUGAAUAUAUAGGUGUACUCUUCUAAGCUAAUUGUAACAGGAGCCUAAACACUGGAUUUCUUUCAUUGUACUUCAUGGCUCUCUGAUUAUUGAAGAUGGCAAACGAGGGGCACACUGGAUACAGUUCCGUUUCCUGACAGCCAUCAGAAUAAGAUGGGUUCCAACCAUCUUAUUAUCCACGAUCCAACCGUCCUCAUUUUUUAAAUAGCAGUCUAAUUAAGGACCUUGAAGAGUAUUAGAAAGUUUCACGAUCUGCUUAUGUACUGUGAUUUAACCAUAUUGUAAUUCUUUAAUGGGAAUUUUAUAAACAGGCACAGUUUGAGCUGCAGUUUCCAACAGACCUAAUGGAGUUUUUUCCCUUUAGGUGUAAAAGGAAGAGAACAUCUCCUGGACCUAAUUGCUACAAUGCUGGUACUACAGUUUAUUCGCACCAGGUUGGGAAAAAAGGGAAUAGUGUUCAAAUCGCUGAUGAAACUGGAUGACGCUUCUGUUUUCAGGAAUAUUCCCUGGGCUUUUGAGGCAAUAGAGAGAGCAAGUGAAUGGGUGAGAAGAGCUGAAGGACAGUACCCAUCAAUCUGCCCGCGGCUUGAACUGGGGAAAGACUGGGUCUCUGCCACCAAGAAGCUGCUGGGACUCCAGCCCGUAAACACUGCGUCCCCUCUUCAUAGACUCCUUCAUUACAGUCAAGGCUAAAUCAAAUGAAACUGAAUUUUAAACUCUUCACAUGCUUCUAUAUAGAAAAUAAUCAAAUGUUAAUAGAUACUUAUAAUGAAACUUCAUUAAGGUUUUAUUCAGUGUAGCAAUUAAUCUCUGUAAAAAUAAAGUAAGUGGAAGCAGAAUUACUUUAAUCAGCUAACAAUCAAUAAUAAAAUGAAACUUACAAUA